GAUACGAUACGACUCCGAGCGAAAUCCGCUAAGGCCGGACAUCAUGGGCUGGCUAUGUGGAUGAGCCAGGGUCCCGGGGGAAACGCCGGGGCCUUCCGUGAUUGAAAAGGGGCGAAAUCCAAGGGGCG
rfam:Mitsuokella multacida DSM 20544 genomic scaffold Scfld0, whole genome shotgun sequence.